rnacentral:rRNA from 1 species
GACGAACGCUGGCGGCGCGCCUAACACAUGCAAGUCGAGCGGAGAUAUUUGAAGGAAGUUUUCGGAUGGAAUUUGGGUAUUUUAGCGGCGGACGGGUGAGUAACGCGUGAGUGACCUGCCUUCCACAGGGGGAUAACGUACCGAAAGGUACACUAAUACCGCAUGAGACCACAGCACUGCCUGGUGCAGGGGUCAAAGGAGCAAUCCGGUGGAAGAUGGACUCGCGUCCGAUUAGAUAGUUGGUGGGGUAACGGCCUACCAAGUCAGCGAUCGGGAGCCGACCUGGGAGAGGGAUCGGCCACAUUGGAACUGAGAGACGGUCCAAACUCCGACGGGAGGCAGCAGUGGGGAAUAUUGGGCAAUGGGGGAAACCCUGACCCAGCGACGCCGCGUGAGGGAAGAAGGUUUUCGGAUUGUAAACCUCUGUUCUUGGUGAAGAGGGAAAGACGGUAGCCAAGGAGGAAGCCCCGGCUAACUACGUGCCAGCCGCCGCGGUAA